rnacentral:rRNA from 1 species
UUGGCACAGGACGUCACAGAGGGUGAGAAUCCCGUACGUGAUCGGACGCCCCAUGUGAAGCGCCUUCGACGAGUCGAGUUGUUUGGGAAUGCAGCUCUAAAUGGGUGGUAAAUUUCAUCUAAAGCUAAAUACUGGCCGGAGACCGAUAGCGCACAAGUAGAGUGAUCGAAAGAUGAAAAGCACUUUGGAAAGAGAGUUAAACAGUACGUGAAAUUGUUGAAAGGGAAGCGCUUGCAACCAGACUUGCCUGCGGUUGAUCAACCGGGUGCACUCGACCGUGGUCAGGCCAGCAUCAGUUCUGGCGGUGGGAGAAAGACUGCGGGAAUGUAGCUCCUCUCGGGGAGUGUUAUAGCCCGUAGUGCAAUGCCACCUGUUAGGACUGAGGACCGCGCUUCGGCUAGGAUGCUGGCGUAAUGGUUGUAAGCGACCCGUCUUGAAACACGGACCAAGGAGUCUAACAUCUAUGCGAGUGUUUGGGUGUUAAACCCAUACGCGUAAUGAAAGUGAACGGAGGUGGGAACCCUUGCACCAUCGACCGAUCCUGAUGUCUUCGGAUGGAUUUGAGUAAGAGCAUAGCUGUUGGGACCCGAAAGAUGGUGAACUAUGCCUGAAUAGGGUGAAGCCAGAGGAAACUCUGGUGGAGGCUCGCAGCGGUUCUGACGUGCAAAUCGAUCGUCAAAUUUGGGUAUAGGGGCGAAAGACUAAUCGAACCAUCUAGUAGCUGGUUCCUGCCGAAGUUUCCCUCAGGAUUGGGGGAAUGUA